CGCGCAAAUUACCCACUCGCGACACGCGGAGGUAGUGACGAAAAAUAACAAUACGGGACUCAUUCGAGGCCCCGUAAUUGGAAUGAGUACACUUUAAAUCCUUUUAACGAGGAUCCAUUGGAGGGCAAGUCUGGUGCCAGCAGCCGCGGUAAUUCCAGCUCCAAUAGCGUAUAUUAAAGUUGUUGCAGUUAAAAAGCUCGUAGUUGGAUCUCGGGUCCAGGCUCGCGGUUCGCCUCGCGGCGAUCACUGCCCGUCCUGACCUACCUCCCGGUUUUCCCUUGGUGCUCUUCGCUGAGUGCUUCGGGUGGCCGGAACGUUUACUUUGAAAAAAUUAGAGUGCUCAAAGCAGGCGGACCGCCUGAAUAAUCGCGCAUGGAAUAAUGGAAUAGGACCUCGGUUCUAUUUUGUUGGUUUUCGGAACUCGAGGUAAUGAUUAAGAGGGACAGACGGGGGC
rnacentral:rRNA from 1 species